CCUGGCGCCCAGCGGCGCUCGGAUUCGGAGGAGCAAGGACCGAUACGCGUCGGCGUGCCAGGGUGCACCUUCUCCGCGGUCGAGUGCUACGACCGGUUUCGCGGCGGUCAGAAGCCCGGCGGAAAGGUAGCGCCGCCCCUCGGGGUGUCGUGUUAUAGGCCGCCGCGGUGGACUCGCCGCGAGACCGAGGACGCUUGCCGCGCCGAGCGGUCCCGGGCCGUCUUGGGAGGUUCGACCUCGGCUGCACUGCUCCGCAGAGCACCGUAACCGCCGCCCUAGCACGGGUCCGGAGACUGCCGGCGCCUCGGGUCAGUAGCG
rnacentral:rRNA from 1 species